AUUGGCUACAAUAAGAACAUCCUCUGCAUCAGAGAGGGUUCAACAUUAACAACAAUGUCUGUAAAAACAGAAUCACAGCUGUCAAGAAGAGCGCUAUCUGCAUAAUUGCUUAAAGAUUUUACUGCAAAAUUAAUAUCCUUGCUGUGAACAAGGGAACAAGGCAAAAACCAGGAUGACAGAGCCUGAGAUGAGGUGAAAAGCAAAUCCAAUUUUUCCUUGCACCAUAGAAAUCUCGUCAGGACUAGCUUUAUCUGCUGCUAAUCUUUUUCAACAUGGAUGCUGCUGCUAAAACCUUCUAGACAGACAAAUUAGAAAAAGAGCCCUGGGUUCCUGAGGACUCGAGAAAAAAAAUAAGAAGAAGAUGGAAAAUUGCCACAGCCACCCCAGCCUUCAGCAACCACCAUCCUAAUCAGCUAGCAGACAUCAGCAUCAAGGCAGGACCCUCCAACCUCCGGCAGGAAAAAGAAUACCACUUGCUCAAGGCCCAGAUGAUCGUUAGCACGUUUAAGCAAUAUUUUUUAAUUAAGCUGUGUCUUUUGAAAACAUACUAAAUCAAGCAGACACAAAUUAGAAGAGUUUAACAACACAGCCUGAAAAUUUUGUGGACUGUUUAUAAUUAGAGUCCUAACCUGAUGCAGAACGUUCUGUCAUGAGACCUUGGAUCAGUCGCUCUCUUAGAGCAGCUUAUGUUCUAGUAAUAUUGUCCCCUGCCCCCUACACUUGGAAAUAUAUGCCUCUGCCAGUCAGCCCUCUGCUGGAGUCUCAGAAAACAAUUAUGGAAAGGGAUAUGCAUGCAUAUUUCAAAUGCACACACUUAUAACCCAAUAUUACAUUUAUAAAGGCAUAUAUAAACUAAGAACCUUGUCCAAACUCAGUGAUGUACGGGUCUACUCUGUGUACCUAGAGAGACUUGGAGGCUUACUCUCUUUUACCAAAGUCUCUCUCUUUGGUAUUUUAUCUUCAGGAGUUUGAACUCUAUAAUGUACUCCACUUGCUGCCAUUUACAGAAUCCAUGUUUCCAAGUUGAUUAUUUGAUGUUUCUUCAACUGAACACUCCACUUUUUUCCCAUCAGUACCCAAGUAAAUACACUGUCAUCUAGGGAUGUCUUCCUUCAAUUAUCUAAUGCCCUUUGCUGGCACAUAAUGACCUAAGAAUGAGGGAAGAAACAGGGCUUUCAAUAGCACUACCAAUUUUUUUCUCUUACUCUCAAUUGGCCCCUGCUGUUAAGAAACUAUCUAACUUCCCUUUUUCAUCAUUAAUAUAAUGUAAAAGUGGAAUUAAUUAAACCAUUUUUGGUAAAACCAUAAAAUAAAAUGCAGCCAACCAAAACUAUGUCAUAGAUAAAUUUUGUUAUAACCUAAAUGAA